UUACGGUCAAAUCACGCUGAAACACCGGUUCUCGUUCGAUCACCGAAGUUAAGCAUCGUAGAGCCAGAUCAGUACUUAGAUGGGGGACCGCUUGGGAACACCUGGUACUGUAAG
rnacentral:rRNA from 1 species